CCUACGGGCGGCAGCAGUGGGGAAUAUUGCGCAAUGGGCGAAAGCCUGACGCAGCGACGCCGCGUGAGGGAUGAAGGUCUUCGGAUCGUAAACCUCUGUCAGCAGGGAAGAACGGUCACUGUGCUAAUCAGCAGUGAAUUGACGGUACCUGCAAAGGAAGCACCGGCUAACUCCGUGCCAGCAGCUGCGGUAAUACGGCGGGUGCAAGCGUUAAUCGGAAUUAUUGGGCGUAAGGUGCUCGUAGGCGGUAUGUCAAAUCAAGGGUGAAAUCCCUGGGCUCAACGUGGGAACUGCCUUUGAAACUGGCAAACUGGAGUGUGUGAGAGGAUAGUGGAAUUCCAGGUGUAGGGGUGAAAUCCGUAGAUAUCUGGAAGAACAUCAGUGGCGAAGGCGACUAUCUGGCACAUAACUGACGCUGAGGAGCGAAAGCGUGGGUAGCAAACAGGAUUAGAUACCCCAGUAGUC
rnacentral:rRNA from 1 species